GCCUCUUUGGCUCAGUGGUAGAGCGUCUCACUCGUACCUCUUCGGGUGCAUGGAGAUGAUGAGAAGGUCCACGGUUCAAUCCCGUGAGGAGGCA
rnacentral:tRNA from 1 species